rnacentral:rRNA from 1 species
AGCGAACGCUGGCGGCAGGCCUAACACAUGCAAGUCGAACGAACCUUUCGGGGUUAGUGGCGGACGGGUGAGUAACACGUGGGAACGUGCCUUUAGGUUCGGAAUAACUCAGGGAAACUUGUGCUAAUACCGAAUGUGCCCUUCGGGGGAAAGAUUAAUCGCCUUUAGAGCGGCCCGCGUCUGAUUAGCUAGUUGGUUGAAGUAAUGGCUCACCAAGGCGACGAUCAGUAGCUGGUCUGAGAGGAUGAUCAGCCACAUUGGGACUGAGACACGGCCCAAACUCCUACGGGAAGCAGCAGUGGGGAAUCUUGCGCAAUGGGCGAAAGCCUGACGCAGCCAUGCCGCGUGAAUGAUGAAGGUCUUAGGAUUGUAAAAUUCUUUCACCGGGGACGAUAAUGACGGUACCCGGAGAAGAAGCCCCGGCUAACUUCGUG